GAUGAACGCUGGCGGCGUGCUUAACACAUGCAAGUCGAACGAUGAAGCCCAGCUUGCUGGGUGGAUUAGUGGCGAACGGGUGAGUAACACGUGAGUAACCUGCCCUUAACUCUGGGAUAAGCCUGGGAAACUGGGUCUAAUACCGGAUAGGAGCGUCCACCGCAUGGUGGGUGUUGGAAAGAUUUAUCGGUUUUGGAUGGACUCGCGGCCUAUCAGCUUGUUGGUGAGGUAAUGGCCCACCAAGGCGACGACGGGUAGCCGGCCUGAGAGGGUGACCGGCCACACUGGGACUGAGACACGGCCCAGACUCCUGCGGGAGGCAGCAGUGGGGGAUAUUGCACAAGGGGCGCAAGCCUGAUGCAGCGACGCCGCGUGAGGGAUGACGGCCUUCGGGUUGUAAACCUCUUUCAGUAGGGAAGAAGCGAAAGUGACGGUACCUGCAGAAGAAGCACCGGCUAACUACGUG
rnacentral:rRNA from 1 species